rnacentral:rRNA from 1 species
UACGUAGGGCGCAAGCGUUGUCCGGAAUUAUUGGGCGUAAAGAGCUCGUAGGCGGUUUGUCGCGUCUGCUGUGAAAACUCGAGGCUCAACCUCGGGCUUGCAGUGGGUACGGGCAGACUAGAGUGCGGUAGGGGGUGACUGGAAUUCCUGGUGUAGCGGUGGAAUGCGCAGAUAUCAGGAGGAACACCGAUGGCGAAGGCAGGUCACUGG